rnacentral:rRNA from 1 species
GACGAGGGAUCCUAGCGUUGCUCGGAAUCAUUGGGCGUAAAGCGGGUGUAGGUGGCUUGGUAAGUCGGGUGUGAAAGUCCAGGGCUCAACCCUGGGAUGCCGGUGGAUACUGUCGGGCUCGAGUCCGGAAGAGGAGUGUGGAAUUCCUGGUGUAGCGGUGAAAUGCGCAGAUAUCAGGAGGAACACCAAUGGCGAAGGCAGCAGCUCUGGGACGUGACUGACGCUGAGACGCGAAAGCGUGGGG